CCUACGGGGCGCAGCAGUAGGGAAUUUUCGUCAAUGGGCGCAAGCCUGAACGAGCAAUGCCGCGUGAACGAGGAAGGUCUUCGGAUCGUAAAGUUCUGUUGAAGGGGAAAAAGAGCGGAGAGAGGAAAUGCUUUCUGAUUGAUAUUACCCUUCGAGGAAGUCACGGCUAACUACGUGCCAGCAGCCGCGGUAAUACGUAGGUGGCGAGCGUUAUCCGGAAUGAUUGGGCGUAAAGGGUGCGUAGGCGGCCUGGCAAGUCUGAAGUGAAAGCUCCGGGCUCAACCUGGGAAUUGCUUUGGAAACUG
rnacentral:rRNA from 1 species